rnacentral:snRNA from 1 species
AAUGACACCUGGCAGAGGCGAUACCAUGAUCACGAAGGUAAACCUUAUCCAUUGCUGACCCCUGCGAUUUCUCCAAAUGCUGAAAACUCGAUUACAUAAUUUGUAGUAGUGGGGGACUAUGUUUGUGCUGUCCUCUG